AGAGUUUGAUCCUGGCUCAGGACGAACGCUGGCGGCGUGCUUAACACAUGCAAGUCGAACGGUGAACCCGCUUCGGUGGGGGAUCAGUGGCGAACGGGUGAGUAACACGUGGGCAACCUGCCCUCAGCUCUGGGAUAACUCCAAGAAAUUGGGGCUAAUACCGGAUAUGACCGCUGACCGCAUGGUCUGGUGGUGGAAAGAUUUAUCGGCUGGGGAUGGGCCCGCGGCCUAUCAGCUUGUUGGUGGGGUAGUGGCCUACCAAGGCGACGACGGGUAGCCGGCCUGAGAGGGUGACCGGCCACACUGGGACUGAGACACGGCCCAGACUCCUACGGGAGGCAGCAGUGGGGAAUAUUGCGCAAUGGGCGAAAGCCUGACGCAGCGACGCCGCGUGGGGGAUGACGGCCUUCGGGUUGUAAACCUCUUUCAGCAGGGACAAAGCGAAAGUGACGGUACCUGCAGAAGAAGCACCGGCCAACUACGUGCCAGCAGCCGCGGUAAUACGUAGGGUGCAAGCGUUGUCCGGAAUUAUUGGGCGUAAAGAGCUCGUAGGCGGUUCGUCGCGUCGGCUGUGAAAACCUGAGGCUCAACCUCAGGCCUGCAGUCGAUACGGGCGGACUUGAGUACUGCAGGGGAGACUGGAAUUCCUGGUGUAGCGGUGAAAUGCGCAGAUAUCAGGAGGAACACCGGUGGCGAAGGCGGGUCUCUGGGCAGUAACUGACGCUGAGGAGCGAAAGCGUGGGGAGCGAACAGGAUUAGAUACCCUAGUAGUCC
rnacentral:rRNA from 1 species